rnacentral:tRNA from 1 species
CGGGCUAUAGCGCAGCUUGGUAGCGCACUUGGCUGGGGGCCAAGGGGCCGUGGGUUCAAAUCCCGCUAGCCCGA